rnacentral:snRNA from 1 species
AUUUAAUUUUCGAAAACAUGUACUAAAGUUGGACUCAUUCAGAGAAGAUUGGCAUGGUCCUUGCUCACAGAUAAAAGAUAAACUUUCAAUAAAGAAAAUGCUUCA